CUUAUCCGGAGAGACUGAGGGAACAGGCCCUGUGACGUCCGGCAACCUGCUUUUCAGUAAGGUGCUAAUUCCUGCGGUAUGACCGAAAGAUGAGU
rnacentral:ncRNA from 1 species